AAGAACGAAAGUAAUAUUAAAAAUUAUACCAAUAGUCAAAUUAAAAUUAAGAACUAGAAUACAUAUCAACAGUUUGCUUGAAAUUAAGAAUCGGAAUAUAUAUCAGAUGUGUCAAUGUCAAAUGUUCAUUAUUAUUUGAAAAACAUAAAAAUCAUUACCUCUUCAAUCGUCUUUCAGACUCCAAUAUGUAGAACCAUUUGGUUAACCAAAUAAGUGUUGCCCAUAUCUGUAACGGGCAAAUCUGUACCUAUAAACAAACCCAAGGGUUGUCUUAAAAUCCUCAAUUAAACUUACUUAGACAAAUUAAUCAUUGUUCAAAUGCAGUUAUUCUAAGUAGUAAACUAUGACAGUCGAAACACAUGGAAUUCUUACUUUGGUGUCUUAUUAGACAAGAAGCAGCAUUUUUUCUAUGACCCACAGUCUUGCACAAGCUGUAUGUGAAAGUCCUACGAACAGUUAAUUCUUCUGCCAAAUCAGCAUCGACUCCCGUUAUUUCACCUGUCUCAAUCAUGUUAUCAACGGGGUCUGUUUCACCAAAUAGGGACACAUAUCAAACUAACAUACAAAAUAACAUGUUGUCAAGUAAGUAAUUCUACCUCUCGGAGAAUCCUGUUAUCUUGUUCAUGAUCAGUGACCUCAUCAUCACUAAGUAGACCUGCCCAUCCCCAAAAUGAUAAAACACAAUAAAACAAUAUUUAAGAAGCCAAAUU
rnacentral:lncRNA from 1 species